CUCCCGUGUUCCGUCUGUGCAAAGGGACGCCCUAGACCUCGGCAGGCUGCAGCGGGCCAGCUCGGAGAGGGGCUCGCCUUCUGCUGUGAGAAAAGCAGAAAUUUUGUGGGUUUUUUUUCCGAUAUUCUGGGGCAGGGGCGAAACCACAGCCUGAAGUCACGGGCAGUACGGCGAGCGGGGAGACCGCGCCCCCGUGAGGGAAGGAGGGAGCAGCCGCUCUGAGGGGGCCGAGCGGCCCUGCGGUUACCCCGGUAACGGCGGGGCGAUGGGCCCGGGCCCAGCCCCGAGCCGCCGGUGUGCCGCUCCGCCCCCGGUCUGCAGCGAGACGGGAAGCGCCUCUACGCGGCCACGGGAGGUCUGGGCCGGGGGGGCCGGGAAUGUGAGACCUGCGGGCGGGGACGCGCUCCCCGCGGGUGGCCCCGCUUCUGAGGCGGCGUGGAGCCGAGGCGCUCGGGGAAGGCGGUGUCUCGUUUAUAGGCGGGAGCAGCUCCAUGGCGGUUUCCGGAGUAACGAGUUUUGUUUAAGACAGACACAGAAGCGGCGGCGGGGGGCGGUCAGCGCGGCUGGGGUGAGCUCGGCGCCCCUCGAGCCGGGGCGUCCCCACCGCGGGACCGUCCCCGCGGAGCGCUCCGCAUCUGCGCUGGGAGCCGCGGGCGGCGGGCAGCGCUCGUGUGCGCUGCCAGGCUCUGGGCGGAGCAGCCGCUCCUGACACUCCGCACAGAAAAGCCAAGGACUCUCUGAUACUAAGUCUAAAACGGGAAAAGAGCCAGCUCACCAAGACCAUCCUGCCUGAGGGUUUAAAGAACAGCCCAGAUAUAUUCAGGAAUCAGCUGGCAAAGGAACUGAAGAGGGCAGCAACUAAGAAUUGCAGCAUCCAACCAUCCGCCAAUAAUUGCUGCAUCCAGCAGUUGCAUCCAACUCACUGUAAGUUUAUUCUGUGACACUAUUAAUGACUCUCAAUUUCCUACUAGCUGCAAAAUUAUUAACACUGUUGUUCUUAUGUAAAUCAGAGUGACAGAAUUAAUAAGGAUUUGGUUGAAAUUUGAAAGCAAACUCGAAUUCUGCACCAGGUGAUCCGCAAAGGACCUCAUUAAACCUUGAAUAUGCCUUCAGUACACUCACUUCAUGGUUACCAAACUGGGCCUGGAUAAAAUAAGUAUUCAUAGUAGCUGUAGUUAUAGUUGGCAUCUCUAUGAUAUGAUGGUGUGAUUAAAUAUGGAGUAGAGACUGGACAAAGCAGAGUCUUGUUAGUGUCUAAAAGAGAGGGAAAUUAUACCAUUUUAGUUUUUACCUUCUUUUCCUCCUCUAUAUUCACUGUAUUUCUUAGGCAUAUAUUUGUAGCAUCGUAGCUUCUUAUUGUGACUUAGCUUCAGCAUUUUUCUAGGCAGAAAGACAAAAAAUUUUCAAGAACCCACAUGCUAUCUUGGUUCUGUGGCUACUAAAGUUGAAAACAGCUCUUUGAGACACAUUUUCAUAAACAAAGUACAGCAAGUACAAAGGGGGGUCUCCAGAAAAUGAGUUUUACCUGAGGGGGAAUUGCAUCACCACUUGUCCUCCUAAGUGGUGAUUUUUCUCAAUGAUGCUAAUUUCCUAAAACCUAUAAAACUGUAUUCACCCCUGUGGGAGUAGGAUUUUGUGGACAUCUUUCCAUAACUGCCUCUGGAGGCCUUCAAAUAAAGAUCCACUUUUAUAUUA